rnacentral:rRNA from 1 species
UACGUAGGCAGCAAGCGUUGUUCGGAAUUACUGGGCGUAAAGAGUGUGUAGGCGGUUCUCUAAGUUCGGUGUGAAAUCUCCCGGCUUAACUGGGAGGGUGCGCCGGAAACUGGAGGGCUUGAGUAUGGGAGAGGAAGGCGGAAUUCCUGGUGUAGCGGUGAAAUGCGUAGAUAUCAGGAGGAACACCGGUGGCGAAGGCGGUUCUCUGGGCCUGUACUGACGCUGAGGAGCGAAAGCGUGGGGAGCGAACAGG